rnacentral:rRNA from 1 species
UGGGGAAUAUUGGACAAUGGGCGAAAGCCUGAUCCAGCCAUGCCGCGUGUGUGAAGAAGGCCUUUUGGUUGUAAAGCACUUUAAGUGGGGAGGAAAAGCUUGUGGUUAAUACCCAUAAGCCCUGACGUUACCCACAGAAUAAGCACCGGCUAACUCUGUGCCAGCAGCCGCGGUAAUACAGAGGGUGCAAGCGUUAAUCGGAAUUACUGGGCGUAAAGCGAGCGUAGGUGGUUAUUUAAGUCAGAUGUGAAAGCCCUGGGCUCAACCUAGGAACUGCAUCUGAUACUGGAUAACUAGAGUAGGUGAGAGGGAAGUAGAAUUCCAGGUGUAGCGGUGAAAUGCGUAGAGAUCUGGAGGAAUACCGAUGGCGAAGGCAGCUUCCUGGCAUCAUACUGACACU